GUAUACUUGCUGACGUCUGGCAUUCAUCGUUUACGGUGUGGACUACCAGGGUAUCUAAUCCUGUUUGCUCCCCACACUUUCGUACCUCAGCGUCAGUAUCGAGCCAGUAAGCCGCCUUCGCCACUGGUGUUCCUCCGAAUAUCUACGAAUUUCACCUCUACACUCGGAAUUCCACUUACCUCUCUCGAACUCAAGACUAGCAGUAUUAAAGGCAGUUCCAGGGUUGAGCCCUGGGAUUUCACCUCUAACUUACUAAUCCGCCUACGUACGCUUUACGCCCAGUAAUUCCGAACAACGCUAACCCCCUCCGUAUUACCGCGGCUGCUGGCACGGAGUUAGCCGGGGUUUCUUUACCAGAUACUGUCAUUAUCAUCUCUGGCGAAAGUGCUUUACGACCCUAAGGCCUUCAUCACACACGCGGCAUGGCUAGAUCAGGGUUUCCCCCAUUGUCUAAGAUUCCCUACUGCUGCCUCCCGUAGGAGUCUGGGCCGUGUCUCAGUCCCAGUGUGGCUGAUCAUCCUCUCAAACCAGCUAUAGAUCGUAGGCUUGGUAGGCCAUUACCCCACCAACUACCUAAUCUAACGCGGGCUAAUCCUUCUCCGAUAAAUCUUUCCCCCGAAGGGCGUAUAAGGUAUUACUCUCAGUUUCCCGAGGCUAUUCCUUAGAGAAGGGCAUAUUCCCACGCGUUACUCACCCGUCCGCCGCUCACCCCGAAGGGCGCGCUCGACUUGCAUGUAUUAGGCCUGCCGCCAGCGUUCGUUCUGAGCCAGGAUCAAACUCU
rnacentral:rRNA from 1 species